rnacentral:rRNA from 1 species
CGAACGCUGGCGGCGUGCUUACCACAUGCAAGUCGAACGGAAAGGCCCUGCUUUUGUGGGGUGCUCGAGUGGCGAACGGGUGAGUAACACGUGAGUAACCUGCCCUUGACUUUGGGAUAACUUCAGGAAACUGGGGCUAAUACCGGAUAGGAGCUCCUGCUGCAUGGUGGGGGUUGGAAAGUUUCGGCGGUUGGGGAUGGACUCGCGGCUUAUCAGCUUGUUGGUGGGGUAGUGGCUUACCAAGGCUUUGACGGGUAGCCGGCCUGAGAGGGUGACCGGCCACAUUGGGACUGAGAUACGGCCCAGACUCCUACGGGAGGCAGCAGUGGGGAAUAUUGCACAAUGGGCGGAAGCCUGAUGCAGCAACGCCGCGUGCGGGAUGACGGCCUUCGGGUUGUAAACCGCUUUCGCCUGUGACGAAGCGUGAGUGACGGUAAUGGGUAAAGAAGCACCGACUAACUACGUG